ACAGAGGCGGCAAGCGUUGUUCGGAAUUAUUGGGCGUAAAGCGCAUGUAGGCGUCUCUGUCCUUCGGUUGUGAAAGCCUUCCGCUUAACGGAAGAAUGGCGGUCGAAACUGCAUGGCUUGAGUGCGGGAGGGGAGAGUGGGACUUCUGGUGGAGCGGUGAAAUGCGUAGAUAUCAGAAGGAACGGCGGCGGCGAAAGCGACUCUCUAGACCGUAACUGACGCUGAGUGUGCGAAAGCUAGGGGAGCAAACGG
rnacentral:rRNA from 1 species